rnacentral:rRNA from 1 species
GGAAUCUUGCACAAUGGGCGAAAGCCUGAUGCAGCGACGCCGCGUGCGGGAAGAAGGCCCUCGGGUUGUAAACCGCUUUCAGCAGGGACGAGGCGCGAGUGACGGUACCUGCAGAAGAAGCCCCGGCUAACUACGUGCCAGCAGCCGCGGUAAUACGUAGGGGGCGAGCGUUAUCCGGAUUCAUUGGGCGUAAAGCGCGCGUAGGCGGCGCGUUAGGUCGGGAGUCAAAUGCGGGGGCUCAACCCCCGUCCGCUCCCGAUACCGGCGGGCUUGAGUCUGGUAGAGGAAGGUGGAACUCCAAGUGUAGCGGUGGAAUGCGCAGAUAUUUGGAAGAACACCGGUGGCGAAGGCGGCCUUCUGGGCCACGACUGACGCUGAGGCGCGAAAGCUAGGGGAGCAAACA